AGAGUUUGAUCCUGGCUCAGAUUGAACGCUGGCGGCAUGCCUUACACAUGCAAGUCGAACGGCAGCGGGGACUUCGGUCCGCCGGCGAGUGGCGAACGGGUGAGUAAUGUAUCGGAACGUACCAUUGAGUGGGGGAUAACGUAGCGAAAGUUACGCUAAUACCGCAUAUUCUCUCCGGAGGAAAGCAGGGGACCGCAAGGCCUUGCGCUCUUUGAGCGGCCGAUAUCAGAUUAGCUAGUUGGUGAGGUAAAGGCUCACCAAGGCGACGAUCUGUAGCGGGUCUGAGAGGAUGAUCCGCCACACUGGAACUGAGACACGGUCCAGACUCCUACGGGAGGCAGCAGUGGGGAAUUUUGGACAAUGGGGGCAACCCUGAUCCAGCCAUGCCGCGUGAGUGAAGAAGGCCUUCGGGUUGUAAAGCUCUUUCGGCCGGGAAAAAAUCGCAUGGGCUAAUACCCUGUGUGGAUGAUGGUACCGGAAUAAGAAGCACCGGCUAACUACGUGCCAGCAGCCGCGGUAAUACGUAGGGUGCGAGCGUUAAUCGGAAUUACUGGGCGUAAAGCGUGCGCAGGCGGUUUGAUAAGACAGGCGUGAAAUCCCCGGGCUCAACCUGGGAACUGCGUUUGUGACUGUCUCACUAGAGUACGGCAGAGGGGGGGUGGAAUUCCACGUGUAGCAGUGAAAUGCGUAGAGAUGUGGAGGAACACCAAUGGCGAAGGCAGCCCCCUGGGUCGAUACUGACGCUCAUGCACGAAAGCGUGGGGAGCAAACAGGAUUAGAUACCCUGGUAGUCCACGCCC
rnacentral:rRNA from 1 species